GCAUACUGCCGUGAAUACGUUCCCGGGCCUUGUACACACCGCCCGUCACACCAUGAGACGUUGGGAAUACCCGAAGCCUGUGAGCUAACAUUAAGAGGCAGCAGUCGAAGGUAGAAUCAAUGAUUGGGGUGAAGUCGUAACAAGGUAUC
rnacentral:rRNA from 1 species